rnacentral:rRNA from 1 species
UACAGAGGGUGCGAGCGUUAAUCGGAAUUACUGGGCGUAAAGCGUGCGUAGCCGGUUUUGUAAGUCGGAUGUGAAAUCCCCGGGCUCAACCUGGGAAUUGCAUUCGAGACUGCAAGGCUUGGGUGCGGAAGAGGGAAGCGGAAUUUCCGGUGUAGCGGUGAAAUGCGUAGAUAUCGGAAGGAACAUCAGUGGCGAAGGCGGCCACCUGGACCAACACUGACACUGAGGCACGAAAGCGUGGGGAGCAAACAGG